rnacentral:rRNA from 1 species
AGAGUUUGAUCCUGGCUCAGAACGAACGCUGGCGGCGUGCCUAACACAUGCAAGUCGAGCGAGAAAGUCCCGGCAACGGGAUGAGUAAAGCGGCAAACGGGUGAGUAACGCGUGGGUAAUCUACCCUACGGAUCGGGAUAACCUGCCGAAAGGUGGACUAAUACCGGAUGAUGUUCUCGCGGUGAUUCCGUGGGAACCAAAGGGGGCGAGCGUAAGCAGCUCUCACCGAAGGAGGAGCCUGCGUCCGAUUAGCUAGUUGGUGGGGUAAUGGCCUACCAAGGCGACGAUCGGUAGCCGGCCUGAGAGGGCGAUCGGCCACACUGGAACUGAGACACGGUCCAGACUCCUACGGGAGGCAGCAGUGGGGAAUAUUGCGCAAUGGGCGAAAGCCUGACGCAGCGACGCCGCGUGGGUGAUGAAGGCCUUCGGGUCGUAAAGCCCUGUCUGGUGGAACGAAACGCCUGGCGGCCAAUACCUGCCGGGUUUGACGGUACCACCGAAGGAAGCCCCGGCUAACUACGCGCCAGCAGCCGCGGUAAGACGUAGGGGGCGAGCGUUGUUCGGAUUUACUGGGCGUAAAGCGCGCGUAGGCGGCCAGAUAAGUCGGGUGUGAAAGCCCUCGGCUCAACCGAGGUUCCGCAUCCGAUACUGCUUGGCUGGAGUCUAGGAGAGGAGAGCGGAAUUCCCAGUGUAGCGGUGAAAUGCGUAGAUAUUGGGAGGAACACCCGUGGCGAAGGCGGCUCUCUGGACUAGUACUGACGCUGAGGCGCGAAAGCUAGGGGAGCGAACGGGAUUAGAUACCCUGGUAGUCC